GUGUUAGGUCGUGCUAGCUUGUAUCAUGUCGUGUUAGGUCCUGCUAGCUUGUAUCAUGUCGUGUUAGGUCCUGCUAGGUCGUGCUAGCUUGUAUCAUGUCGUGUUAGGUCCUGCUAGGUCGUGCUAGCUUGUAUCAUGUCGUGUUAGGUCCUGCUAGGUCGUGCUAGCUUGUAUCAUGUCGUGUUAGGUCCUGCUAGGUCGUGCUAGCUUGUAUCAUGUCGUGUUAGGUCCUGCUAGGUCGUGCUAGCUUGUAUCAUGUCGUGUUAGGUCCUGCUAGGUCGUGCUAGCUUGUAUCAUGUCGUGUUAGGUCCUGCUAGGUCGUGCUAGCUUGUAUCAUGUCGUGUUAGGUCCUGCUAGGUCGU